rnacentral:rRNA from 1 species
CGCGUGGGAAUCUACCCAGUAGUGGGGGACAACAGUUGGAAACGACUGCUAAUACCGCAUACGCCCUACGGGGGAAAGGACAGGGGAGUCUUCGGACCUUGUGCUAUUGGAUGAGCCCGCGUGAGAUUAGCUAGUUGGUGAGGUAAUGGCUCACCAAGGCGACGAUCUCUAGCUGGUUUGAGAGGAUGAUCAGCCACACUGGGACUGAGACACGGCCCAGACUCCUACGGGAGGCAGCAGUGGGGAAUAUUGCACAAUGGGCGAAAGCCUGAUGCAGCCAUGCCGCGUGUGUGAAGAAGG